GCUGGGUGUGGUGGUGGGCGCCUGUAAUCCCAGCUACUCGGGAGGCUGAGGCAGGAGAAUUGCUUGAACCCGGGAGGUGGAGGUUGCAGUGAGCUGAUAUCAUGCCACUGCACUCCAGCCUGGGCAACAGAGCAAGACUCUGUCUCAA
rnacentral:SRP_RNA from 1 species